UGGAGGCCCUGGUCCUCCCGCAACACUAAUUCGUGAACUUGGUCAGGACCGGAAGGUAGCAGCCACAGCGAAUGACGUGUGUGCCGGGAUGUGGCUGGGGCUUC
rnacentral:SRP_RNA from 1 species